UACGGAGGGUGCAAGCGUUAUCCGGAAUUACUGGGCGUAAAGCGUCCGCAGGCGGCAAUUCAAGUCUGCUGUCAAAGGUUCUGGCUCAACCAGAAACAGGCAGUGGAAACUGAAUAGCUAGAGUGCGGUAGGGGCAGAGGGAAUUCCGAGUGUAGCGGUGAAAUGCGUAGAUAUUGGGAAGAACACCGGUGGCGAAGGCGGUCUGCUAGGCCGUAACUGACGCUCAUGGACGAAAGCGAGGGGAGCGAAUGGG
rnacentral:rRNA from 1 species